rnacentral:tRNA from 1 species
AAUGUUAAAUAGAGUUCUAUGUUUGAUUACGGAUCAAAAAGGAAAACAUUU